AACCAAUAUCAAUUCAUUCUUGGAACGUACUUCGAAGGCAGCCCUAGUAGGUUCUUUUCAAAUUAGUUUAGGUAGAGAGAGCAGCUUGGACGGUGGACUCGAGCGUUCAACGUGCGUUAGAUAGGGGCCCCUUAAACCUACACCUGGUUUGCAAGUCCCAGGCACUGUUGAAGCUCCUCCCCCUGCAAAGCGAUGGACCCGACACCCGCACGAUGAAUACAUUGAAUGAUAAGAAGUUUCGUCUCUAUACUGGUGAUUCGACACCAUAACGCGUUGAAGCCUCAGCGAUUAAUCUACAUCAGAGUAUGAUAGGAAAGACGAUGGAGAUCGUGUUGCUGAAUCUUAUUAAGCGUCUGAGACCGAUGAGAGCAUUUCAGCGGCAGGUUGAACGUCCUAGGCUCAAGGCCUAGACCAGCUGAGUUGGUGACCGUCCGACGGUUCAAGGGCGCCGGGUGAAUGCCACCACUCAUAUUUUUUUGCGAGCGUCACUAGCUUACGUGAUACAGGCCUUAUCGAAGCCGGAUGAACAAAUCUCGUACUAAUAACUUAAGUCAUUUGUAUUUCAAUACAGAUAUCCGACAAAAAAAAACCUCACAUGGUAUUCGUGAGCACUUCAACGGCCUCGUUUUAUUA